GUUAAUGUUUAACUUUAUUUACUCAUGUUUUUUAAUUACUUACCUUUUGAUUAAUUGAACGUAACUUUCAGUUUUAUUAACCUUUAAUUGCCAAUCAUUCUUAUUAGAAGCUGUCAGUUUGUAAUUAAACUGCUUUUGUAGCUACCAUUUACUCGACUAUUUUUGCCUUUAUUUUUGUUCAAUUUUUGUUUGCUUUUUAUCUCAUUUUACUGUCUUCUAUUCACUUUUAAUUUGAAUAAGUGUGUAUAUUUUACCUGUUUUUUAAUCAAUCUUUCGUUUGAUUUGCCGUCUCUCUCUCUCUCUCACCUCUAAUUGGUUUCCAAUAAAUGGUUGAACAAGAUUAAUUAAACAUUGCUUUGGGAUAAAAGAAAUACUGUUUAACCUCACCUUAAUCGGAAUCCAGGAAAAUUGCGCUUACCAACAGUAUCACCAACAAAACGAGCUAACAAGUUGUUCUUCUUACAAUUGAUGUAAAUAAAUCCAAGCAAAGAGACAAAAAGGAGAAAAGUGGAACCCAAAAUUGCUGACAGUAAAACCAGAUUAAAUUGAACACAGUUAACCAUUAAUUUUUUUGUUUCCAUUCUUUGGCAAUAUUCAACGAAAUGAAUAAUAUCAACAAGAUACCAAUGAUAGGAAUGGAGUUAUGAGGAUAUAAAGAUGCAAGCCUAGGAAGAGAAAA